AUUGAACGCUGGCGGCAGGCCUAACACAUGCAAGUCGAGCGGAUGGAGGGAGCUUGCUCCUGGAUUCAGCGGCGGACGGGUGAGUAAUGCCUAGGAAUCUGCCUGGUAGUGGGGGGUAACGUCCGGAAACGGGCGCUAAUACCGCAUACGUCCUGAGGGAGAAAGUGGGGGAUCUUCGGACCUCACGCUAUCAGAUGAGCCUAGGUCGGAUUAGCUAGUUGGUGGGGUAAAGGCCUACCAAGGCGACGAUCCGUAACUGGUCUGAGAGGAUGAUCAGUCACACUGGAACUGAGACACGGUCCAGACUCCUACGGGAGGCAGCAGUGGGGAAUAUUGGACAAUGGGCGAAAGCCUGAUCCAGCCAUGCCGCGUGUGUGAAGAAGGUCUUCGGAUUGUAAAGCACUUUAAGUUGGGAGGAAGGGCAGUAAGUUAAUACCUUGCUGUUUUGACGUUACCAACAGAAUAAGCACCGGCUAACUUCGUG
rnacentral:rRNA from 1 species